rnacentral:rRNA from 1 species
CCUACGGGAGGCAGCAGUGAGGAAUAUUGGUCAAUGGGCGCGAGCCUGAACCAGCCAAGUCGCGUGAGGGAAGACGGCCCUACGGGUUGUAAACCUCUUUUGCCGGGGAGCAAAGGGCGCCACGUGUGGCGCCACUGAGAGAACCCGGUGAAAAAGCAUCGGCUAACUCCGUGCCAGCAGCCGCGGUAAUACGGAGGAUGCGCGCGGUGUCCGGAUUUAUUGGGUUUAAGGGGGGCGUAGGCGGAGCGUUAAGUCAGUGGUCAAAUUGAGGGGCUCAACCCCUUCCCGCCAUUGAAACUGGAGGUCUUGAGUGGAAGAGAAGUAUGCGGAAUGCGUGGUGUAGCGGUGAAAUGCAUAGAUAUCACGCAGAACCCCGAUUGCGAAGGCAGCAUGCCGGCUUCCUACUGACGCUGAAGCACGAAAGCGUGGGGAUCGAACAGGAUUAGAUACCCGUGUAGUC